AUUGAACGCUGGCGGCAGGCUUAACACAUGCAAGUCGAGCGGGGGGAGGUAGCUUGCUACCGGACCUAGCGGCGGACGGGUGAGUAAUGCUUAGGAAUCUGCCUAUUAGUGGGGGACAACAUCUCGAAAGGGAUGCUAAUACCGCAUACGUCCUACGGGAGAAAGCAGGGGAUCUUCGGACCUUGCGCUAAUAGAUGAGCCUAAGUCGGAUUAGCUAGUUGGUGGGGUAAAGGCCUACCAAGGCGACGAUCUGUAGCGGGUCUGAGAGGAUGAUCCGCCACACUGGGACUGGAACACGGCCCAGGCUCCUACGGGAGGCAGCAGUGGGGAAUAUUGGACAAUGGGGGGAACCCUGAUCCAGCCGUGCCGCGUGUGUGAAGAAGGCCUUAUGGUUGUAAAGCACUUUAAGCGAGGAGGAGGCUACUUUAGUUAAUACCUAGAGAUAGUGGACGUUACUCGCAGAAUAAGCACCGGCUAACUCUGUGCCAGCCGCCGCAGUAA
rnacentral:rRNA from 1 species